CAGGGUAUAGCUCAGAGGUACAGCAUCUGCCUGAUAUGUAGGAGGCCCUGGGUUCCACUCCCAGUGUCAAGG
rnacentral:tRNA from 2 species